UGGGGAAUUUUGGACAAUGGGCGAAAGCCUGAUCCAGCAAUGCCGCGUGUGUGAAGAAGGCCUUCGGGUUGUAAAGCACUUUUGUCCGGAAAGAAAUCCUUGGCUCUAAUACAGUCGGGGGAUGACGGUACCGGAAGAAUAAGCACCGGCUAACUACGUGCCAGCAGCCGCGGUAAUACGUAGGGUGCAAGCGUUAAUCGGAAUUACUGGGCGUAAAGCGUGCGCAGGCGGUUUGCUAAGACCGAUGUGAAAUCCCCGGGCUCAACCUGGGAACUGCAUUGGUGACUGGCAGGCUAGAGUAUGGCAGAGGGGGGUAGAAUUCCACGUGUAGCAGUGAAAUGCGUAGAGAUGUGGAGGAAUACCGAUGGCGAAGGCAGCCCCCUGGGCCAAUACUGACGCUCAUGCACGAAAGCGUGGGGAGCAACAGA
rnacentral:rRNA from 1 species